rnacentral:rRNA from 1 species
CACGGGGGGAACGAGCGUUGUUCGGAUUUACUGGGCGUAAAGGGUGCGUAGGCGGGUCAGCAAGUCGGGUGUGAAAGUCCAGGGCUUAACCCUGAAUCUGCAUUCGAAACUGUUGGUCUUGAGUACUGGAGAGGUAAGUGGAAUUCCUGGUGUAGCGGUGAAAUGCGUAGAUAUCAGGAGGAACACCGUUGGCGAAGGCGGCUUACUGGACAGAUACUGACGCUGAGGCACGAAGGUCGGGGGAGCAAACAGG